GAUUUUUUAAGGGCAUUUUUCGAGCCUUUUCUGGGGCGUUUUCUUGGGAUUUUUUGGGGUUUUUUGGGUCUUUUUCUGGGGCUUUUUUGGGGCUUUUUGAGGCUUUUCAGGGAGGUUUUUGGGGGCGUUUUUGGGUCUUUUUCUGAGGCUUUUUGGGGUUUUUUU